UACAGAGGGUGCGAGCGUUAAUCGGAAUUACUGGGCGUAAAGCGCACGUAGGCGGCUUGGUAUGUCGGGUGUGAAAUCCCCGGGCUCAACCUGGGAACUGCAUCUGUGACUGCAUUGCUGGAGUGCGGCAGAGGGGGAUGGAAUUCCGCGUGUAGCAGUGAAAUGCGUAGAUAUGCGGAGGAACACCGAUGGCGAAGGCAAUCCCCUGGGCCUGCACUGACGCUAAUGCACGCAAGCGUGGGGAGCAAACAGG
rnacentral:rRNA from 1 species